rnacentral:rRNA from 1 species
CCUACGGGGGACAGCAGUGAGGAAUAUUGGUCAAUGGACGCGAGCCUGAACCAGCCAAGUCGCGUGAAGGAUGACGGCCCUACGGGUUGUAAACUUCUUUUGUAAGAGGGUAAACGCAGACACGUGUAUCUGUCUGUAAGUAACGUACGAAUAAGGAUCGGCUAACUCCGUUCCAGCAGCCGCGGUAAUACGGAGGAUUCCAGCGUUAUCCGGAUUUAUUGGGUUUAAAGGGUGCGUAGGGGGGCUGAUAAGUUAGGUGUGAAAUCUUGGGGCUCAACUUCGGAAUUGCCUUUGAUACUGGUAGGCUUGAGAGGAGUUGAGGUAGGCGGAAUGCGUUGUGUAGCGGUGAAAUGCUUAGAGAUCACGCAGAACUCCGAUUGCGAAGGCAGCUUACCAAGCUACUACUGACGUUGAGGCACGAAAGCGUGGGUAGCAAACAGGAUUAGAUACCCUGGUAGUC